GAUGAACGCUGGCGGCGUGCUUAACACAUGCAAGUCGAACGGAAAGGCUCCUGCUUGCAGGGGUACUCGAGUGGCGAACGGGUGAGUAACACGUGGGUGAUCUGCCCUGCACUUCGGGAUAAGCCUGGGAAACUGGGUCUAAUACCGGAUAGGACGAUGGUUUGGAUGCCAUUGUGGAAAGUUUUUCGGUGUGGGAUGAGCUCGCGGCCUAUCAGCUUGUUGGUGGGGUAAUGGCCUACCAAGGCGUCGACGGGUAGCCGGCCUGAGAGGGUGUACGGCCACAUUGGGACUGAGAUACGGCCCAGACUCCUACGGGAGGCAGCAGUGGGGAAUAUUGCACAAUGGGCGCAAGCCUGAUGCAGCGACGCCGCGUGGGGGAUGACGGCCUUCGGGUUGUAAACUCCUGUCGCUAGGGACGAAGCGCAAGUGACGGUACCUGGAGAAGAAGCACCGGCUAACUACGUG
rnacentral:rRNA from 1 species